rnacentral:rRNA from 1 species
GGGUCAGUAGGUUGGUCGUGCCACCGGUACGUACUGGUCUCACUGAAUCCUCCUUCCUGAAGAACCGUAACGCCAUUAAUUUGGUGUUGCGGGGAAACAGGACUGUUACUUUGAAAAAAUUAGAGUGUAUAAAGCAAGCUAACGCUUGAAUACAUUAGCAUGGAAUAAUGAAAUAGGACGAUCGAUCCUAUUUUGUUGGUUUCUAGGAUUGACGUA